UACGGGGGGGGCAAGCGUUGUUCGGAAUUACUGGGCGUAAAGGGCUCGUAGGUGGCCAACUAAGUCAGACGUGAAAUCCCUCGGCUUAACCGGGGAACUGCGUCUGAUACUGGAUGGCUUGAGUUUGGGAGAGGGACGCGGAAUUCCAGGUGUAGCGGUGAAAUGCGUAGAUAUCUGGAGGAACACCGGUGGCGAAGGCGGCGUCCUGGGUUGACACUGACGCUGAGGCGCGAAAGCGUGGGGAGCAAACAGG
rnacentral:rRNA from 1 species